rnacentral:tRNA from 1 species
GGGUAUGUAACCGAUGGGUUCAGGAGAGCGCUUGACUGGCAGUCAAGAGGUCAGCGGUUCGAUCCCGCUUAUCUCCACCA